rnacentral:misc_RNA from 1 species
AACGCACCUUGCGCUCCUUGGUAUUCCGAGGAGCAUGCCUGUUUGAGUGUCAUUAAAUUCUCAACUCCCUUUGAUUUCUUCAAAGGUGAGCUUGGAUUGUGGAGGCUUGCCGGCUGCAAAGUCGGCUCCUCUGAAAUGCAUUGGCAAAGGCGUAUGCAUAAUAACGGCUUUCGAUGUGAUAAUGAUCAUCGUAGCUGGAAUGCUUCACAAGUCUAUGCCCAACCUGCUUUCCAUUCAUUUGGGAAACACUUUGACCAUUUUGACCUCAAAUCAGGUAGGACUACCCGCUGAACUUAA